UACGAGUACCCCAAGCGUUAUCCGGAAUUAUUGGGCGUAAAGGGUGCGUAGGUGGCAGUAUUAGUCUUAUGUCAAAACCCUCAGCUUAACUGGGGACUCGCAUAGGAAACGGUAUUGCUAGAGGAUGUGAGAGGUGUGUAGAACUCAUGGAGUAGGGGUGAAAUCCGUUGAUAUCAUGGGGAAUACCAAAAGCGAAGGCAGCACACUGGCACACUCCUGACAUUGAAGCACGAAAGCGUGGGUAGCGAAUGGG
rnacentral:rRNA from 1 species